UCGUCUUCGGACAAUGUAUUAAUCUUUACGGGUUAAUAUGCUUGACAACUGACCUCAAUCCGGAGGCCC
rnacentral:rRNA from 1 species